UACAGAGGUCUCAAGCGUUGUUCGGAUUCAUUGGGCGUAAAGGGUGCGUAGGCGGCGCGGUAAGUCGGGUGUGAAAUCUUGGAGCUUAACUCCGAAACUGCAUUCGAUACUGCCGUGCUUGAGGACUGGAGAGGAGACUGGAAUUUACGGUGUAGCGGUGAAAUGCGUAGAUAUCGUAAGGAAGACCAGUGGCGAAGGUGGGUCUCUGGACAGUUCCUGACGCUGAGGCACGAAGGCCAGGGGAGCAAACGGG
rnacentral:rRNA from 1 species